rnacentral:rRNA from 1 species
UACGUAGGGUGCAAGCGUUAAUCGGAAUUACUGGGCGUAAAGCGUGCGCAGGCGGUUUUGUAAGUCUGUCGUGAAAUCCCCGGGCUUAACCUGGGAAUUGCGAUGGAGACUGCAAGGCUGGAGUCUGACAGAGGGGGGUAGAAUUCCACGUGUAGCAGUGAAAUGCGUAGAGAUGUGGAGGAACACCGAUGGCGAAGGCAGCACCCUGGGUCAAGACUGACGCUCAUGCACGAAAGCGUGGGGAGCAAACAGG